rnacentral:lncRNA from 1 species
CAAACAAAAAACAAUGCUUUACCAUAACAAAUGUAUUUAUUUCUGUACAUCUUUAUCUUUUGUAGUAUUCAACUUACACUAUUACAAAAUUUGAAUCUCACAAUAACCCACUGAAAAAGCCAAUGAAUCUUCCUUUAUUACAAAAGAAGAAGAAGCCUCAGAAAAGGUUGAAAUCCUAACCCCCAAAGCAAUGGUAUCAGAAGGUGGGGACUUUGGAAAGCGAUUAAGUCAUGAAUGAGAUUAGCGACCUUAUAAAAGAGACCCCAGAGGGCUCAUUUGCCCCUGCUGCCAUGGGAGGACACAGCAAAAUGACAGCCUUCUACAAACCAGAAAGUGGGCCUUCAACACACAGUCAAUCUGUCUGUGAGAAAUAAAUUCCUGUUGUUUAUAAACCA